AACAUUUAAUAUACUAAAAAUUAACAUUAUAAAAUAAUAAUGAUUGAUUAUGUUUGAAACAUGUGAAAUAAUAAAAAUAUAGAUCAAAUUAAACUAAUAUGCACUAUAAAAUAAAAUUAAAAAUUAUAUAUUAAUGUGAUGUUUCAUUCACUUUAAACCCAUCAAGCUUUGAUGUGGGCCCCUCAUCUGAUGAUUUUUUUAUGCAACACACGAAUCACAACUCCUAUUAUCUUUAUCUAUAUAACGACUACACCAAUAUCAAUAUAUUCAUUUGUUUCUACCUCAUGCUUUUUACCUUUAGUAUAUUCAUGAUUUUUAUUUGGCUUAUUGAUGUGUUUAACCCUUGCAAUUAGGCGGCAUUUAAAAAUUCGUCCCUGUAAUUGCUAAUCCUGACAUUUUAACCCUGCAAUUGUUAAUCAUUUAAAAUUUCGUCCCUCUCCCCACUUAAUCACUGCCACGCCACAUGAAAUUCCAAAUUUACCCCUGGGUUUCCAAUUCUUUCUUCAAUAUUUUGUCCUCUUCUUAAGGGCAAAAUUGUAAUUUCAUGUGUGACAGUGAUUGCCACGUCAUCAAAUUAGUGACGUGGCAGUGAUUAAUUUGGUCCAAGGACCAAAUUUUUAAACGAUUAACAAUUGCAGGGUUAAAAUGCCAGGAUUAACAAUUACAGGAACGAAUUUUUUAAAUGCCGCCUUAAUUGCAAGGGCUAAAACACAUCAAUAAGCCUUUUUUAUUUUUUAUUUUCUCCGAAAAAUUUCGGUUGAGCUGCACUACUCAAUUGCUUAUGCAUAUUAUGUAUUUUGACCAACAUCGAGGGACUAAAAUAUGAUGGAAUAUCUUCCUCCUUUGCAUGUGAAGUUCCCUCAUGAGCCAAAGGGUUCUUCUUUGUAGAAUUUAGGUUUAUUGGUUGUUACACUUUCGAAACAUAAACCGUAGAUAAACUAGCAUUUCUUAUGGUGAACACAAUCUUCUUCACGUAGUGGUCUUGGCAAGUUUCCGCAUUGUGGCCAUAUUUUCCACAAUGCCACAACUAAAACACGCAAUAUGUAUGUAAUCCUUCAUGUUCAAUAGUAAAAACAAAACCUAAAACAUUCACAAUGAACUUUUAAAAUGAUUUUUCUUAUCAAGAUCCCUUUUCACACAAAUACGUGCAAAUCGACCACGAAAUUGACUAGAUGUCAAGUGGUCCAUGUUCAGCAUAUUACGUAAUGUCCCUCUAACACGCCAGAGUUUGACAUCUUAUCUUUGAACAAAAAAAAUAAUAAUUUUUAAUUAAAUA
rnacentral:lncRNA from 1 species